UUACGGUCACAUCACGUUGAAACACCAGUUCCCGUAUGAUCACCGAAGUAAAACAACGCUGAACCUGGUCAUUACCUAGAUGGUUGCUCGUUUAGGAAUACCAUGUGCUGUAA